rnacentral:rRNA from 2 species
UACGAAGGGGGCUAGCGUUGUUCGGAAUCACUGGGCGUAAAGCGCACGCAGGCGGAUCGUUAAGUCAGGGGUGAAAUCCCGAGGCUCAACCUCGGAACUGCCUUUGAUACUGGCGAUCUUUGAGUCCGGGAGAGGUGAGUGGAACUCCGAGUGUAGAGGUGAAAUUCGUAGAUAUUCGGAAGAACACCAGUGGCGAAGGCGGCUCACUGGCCCGGUACUGACGCUCAUGUGCGAAAGCGUGGGGAGCAAACAGG